rnacentral:rRNA from 1 species
ACGGGUGAGUAAUACUUAGGAAUCUGCCUAUUAAUGGGGGACAACAUCUCGAAAGGGAUGCUAAUACCGCAUACGCCCUACGGGGGAAAGCAGGGGAUCACUUGUGACCUUGCGUUAAUAGAUGAGCCUAAGUCGGAUUAGCUAGUUGGUGGGGUAAAGGCCUACCAAGGCGACGAUCUGUAGCGGGUCUGAGAGGAUGAUCCGCCACACUGGGACUGAGACACGGCCCAGACUCCUACGGGAGGCAGCAGUGGGGAAUAUUGGACAAUGGGGGGAACCCUGAUCCAGCCAUGCCGCGUGUGUGAAGAAGGCCUUAUGGUUGUAAAGCACUUUAAGCGAGGAGGAGGCUCUUCUAGUUAAUACCUAGGAUGAGUGGACGUUACUCGCAGAAUAAGCACCGGCUAACUCUGUGCCAGCAGCCGCGGUAAUACAGAGGGUGCGAGCGUUAAUCGGAUUUACUGGGCGUAAAGCGUGCGUAGGCGGCUUUUUAAGUCGGAUGUGAAAUCCCCGAGCUUAACUUGGGAAUUGCAUUCGAUACUGGGAAGCUAGAGUAUGGGAGAGGAUGGUAGAAUUCCAGGUGUAGCG